GACGAAGGAUCCAAGCGUUGUCCGGAUUUACUGGGUUUAAAGGGUGCGUAGGCGGAUAAAUAAGUCAGAGGUGAAAGCCUGCAGCUCAACUGUAGAAUUGCCUUUGAAACUGUUUAUCUAGAGUACACUUGAGGUGGCUGGAAUAUAUCAUGUAGCGGUGAAAUGCUUAGAUAUGAUAUAGAACACCAAUUGCGAAGGCAAGUCACUAAGAUGUAACUGACGCUGGGGCACGAAAGCGUGGGUAGCAAACAGG
rnacentral:rRNA from 1 species